GGGACCUGCUCAAGGAUUUUAAAAGAUUAUCAAGAGGGCUGCCACAUAAUUAGGUUACUAUGUGAGGACUUUUUUUGCUUGUCUGUGGUGGCAGAUACCAUGAAAAUUAUGGAUGGACCUUUUCUU